GGGUCCCCCCGGUCAGCCUGGAUAUCCCGGGACCAUGGGUCCUCCUGGGCUACCUGGCGCUAAAGGAGAAAGAGGAUAUGCGGGGCCAGCUGGAGAGAAAGGAGAAUCAGGUCCUCCAGGUUUGGAUGGUCCUGCAGGUCCAAUGGGGCCGGCGGGUCCAAGGGGAGAGCGAGGCACUCCAGGUUCUGCGGGAGAAAAAGGCGACCAGG